GCCAACAAUCCACUUAUCUGAUGAAUUUUCCGUGAAAUAGCAGAAUACUGUCUCUAUUUUCUCCAUUGUGGUUUAUAACUAUCUAAAAUUUACCUGGUUAGUCCACAAGUCCUAGCUCAACUGGCAAAAAUAUGGCGAAAUUGUUAGGCCGGACGCCAUGAUCGGGGUUUGAACCCCGACACCACCACUUGUGUGUGUUAGUUAAUAAUGGUUUUGCCAUUUCAUCUACCUACCCAAAAAAAAAGUACUCAGUUAUACACUAGGAUAGAGUUUGAAGCAUAUUACAAAAUAUUUAAAGUACAAAAAAUUUGAAUAUAUAGUUUGAGUUGAUACAUUUACUAACCAACAGUACAUUGCCAGGAAUACAAUCACCACCCCGAGAUUACGGUAUUCCAUUAAGUGGUUCAAAUAAGGUAUUUGAAACAAUUGGGGCGUCUGCUAACCUAGUGUUUGCAUACAAUACCGGCAUGCUUC
rnacentral:lncRNA from 1 species